UGGCGGGCCCGGUGGGAUUCGAACCCACGACCUACGGGUUAAAAGCCCGCCGCUCUACCUGGCUGAGCUACGGGCCC
rnacentral:tRNA from 1 species